rnacentral:lncRNA from 1 species
CCGACUGAAGGGUUUAAUGAAAGCCCAGAAGUUGCUGCUUGGCUCAGUCCCCUUGUGUACAAAAGAUACACCUGGGUACAGUCCUGGCCUCGGCAGCUUCUGGGAAAAGAUGGGGAGGGACACAGUCAUCAGGUGACGGGGCUUUGUAAAUGGCUGCAGAGGAAGACUGCUCAGGAGAUCAGGCCAGUGAGGUACGAGUCUUCCCGCUCCCCAGGCCUGGCUGACCCCUGCCUCCACAGUCAGCAGCACCUUCCUUCCCUUCAAGGACUGACCCUCCACAGUAGUUCCACCAGUGAAAUCAGGCUGCAGGUGGUAGGUGAGACCUGGGGGCUGUUGGCAGGGUGUUAUUUGUCUCCCAUUAGACAAAAAAUAAAUAUAUUCUUUGAGAAUUUCA